UGUCUCAAAUAAUGUAAAUCAAUGUCCUCGCCCAUAAAAAAGCGCCCAUGAACUUAUACUACUUUCAACAACCGAUCUCUUGGCUCUCGCAUCGAUAAAUAACGCAUCCAAAUGCUAUAAGUAAUGUUAAUUGCACAUUUUCAGUGAAUCAUCUAAUCUUUGAAUGCACCUUGCACUCCUUGGUAUUCCGAGGAGCAUGCCUGGUUGAUUGGCAUUACAUUCUCAACCCCGAAUCGAUUUGUUUCGAUUCGGGGCUUGGACUUGAAGCGUGCUGACUAAUGUCGGCUCCUCUCAAAUGCAUCAUGGGAAUUCAACCUUUGGCUUCCGGACAUCACUGUGAUAAUGACAUUGCUCUGUCCUCAAACCCUCCAAGUCCGCUUACGAAGGACUUCAGACAAAACCUUGCAUCAUAUUUGACCUCAAAUCAAGUAGGACUACCCGCUGAACUUAAGCAUA
rnacentral:rRNA from 1 species